rnacentral:rRNA from 1 species
GACGAACGCUGGCGGCGUGCUUAACACAUGCAAGUCGAACGGAAAGGCCCUGCUUUUGUGGGGUGCUCGAGUGGCGAACGGGUGAGUAACACGUGAGUAACCUGCCCUUGACUUUGGGAUAACUUCAGGAAACUGGGGCUAAUACCGGAUAGGAGCUCCUGCUGCAUGGUGGGGGUUGGAAAGUUUCGGCGGUUGGGGAUGGACUCGCGGCUUAUCAGCUUGUUGGUGGGGUAGUGGCUUACCAAGGCUUUGCCGGGUAGCAGGCCUGAGAGGGUGACCGGCCACCUGGGGACUGAGAGACGGCCCAGACUCCUACGGGAGGCAGCAGUGGGGAAUAUUGCACAAUGGGCGGAAGCCUGAUGCAGCAACGCCGCGUGCGGGAUGACGGCCUUCGGGUUGUAAACCGCUUUCGCCUGUGACGAAGCGGGAGUGACGGUAAUGGGUAAAGAAGCACCGGCUAACUACGUG